rnacentral:snoRNA from 1 species
ACUCUCCAGGUUUCUUAUCCCUUGGACCUAAAUAUUGGUCUGGUGGCUAAAGUCCAAGGAGGAAAAGUAAAACUGAAACAGACUUGGAGUCUUUCGGGGCAAAUAUGUUCAUUUCAGAUAGAU